AGGCUUCAUUGACACAAAGCUAAGGGCAGGAACACGGAACCGUUUCCUGAACCUGCCCUGGGUUCCUGCCAAAGGUAAGCAGCCACGCUCAGCAGGGUCUCACGGACCACUGAGGAGGCAGUGAGCUUCACUAAAACAAUUAUCCCUCCCCAGGGCUCUGCCGAAGGUUUGCAGCUCCAAAUUCUCAUGGUAAAGGAUCCGUCCAGUCUCUGAAUUCCAGCUUAGAAUGGCUGACCUAGGCAGGACAAUUCCUCUGAGAGCGAGGGAGAAAAAACAAAAGUGUGGGAUUUAAAAGGCUGGUAUUGCAAAGGAUCAUCUUGACAGGCUGUGGCUCAGAUUUAGAGAAACCCCGAACUGAUUUGCAGAGGACUGAACACCAAACCUUGUAACCACAGAGCAGACUUCGGGGAGGUAGUCAUAGGACCUGACAAGCAAUCUUUUAAUACAGAAUCUGGUACAAAGAUCCAUGUGUGUAUUUUUGCUGUGGUUUUUUUUUUUUUUCUAUAUCUUUUGGAAUGGAGUCUAAUCGUCCAAAGGAUAGUUUUCACGUGUAGUGUUUUUCUCUUUGAUUUGAGAUAGGAGGUUUUCUGUGGCUGCUAAGCAAUACACAUAUACCUACGUGGCAUACAAUGUCUUUUUUUUUUGGUGGAAUUCUUAGCAUGCAUAUUUUUCUCAGCUAAAUGAUUUUUAACAGCAGUUAUUUAGUUCCUAUUGCACCUUUCCAAAAUUGCGUUCAUGGUAGAUACUUCUCAAAUAAGGUUUAGUUUUAUUAAAAUUCUUACGUCUUUCUGAAACAAAUAUACUAAAUCUUCCAGAAGAGCCCAUAAUAAUAAUAAUUUUUUUGCGUGUGUCUUAUGAGCCUGUGCGUAUGUGUGCACCACGCAGAUUUGUGUACACAUUUGUAUGUAAUACUGUUACAACUAUAAAUGGCAAAAGAACGUAUUUUAAGCCUCUUGGGGUUUCAACAAAUUGUGAUAAAAGGGUGGUGGUGGCCGAGAUGACUUUCUCCCACUCUAUUAAGAAAAAGUGCAAAAUGAAUGAGGGCAAACUGCUGGCUGCGAUUGUGAUUGUGCACAACUGCAAAGCGGGAUCGGCUGGGAUGGAGGCCACGGAGCAGGAACACCCCGUGUCUUGCCCCCCCUUCUGAAUGCCUCUCAGUAGUGGCAUUGUGGGGACUCAUGAAUUACUUCUUACAGUCGGGGCUCCUUGCUAUAAAUCCAGCCCUGGUGCCGAGCGCACUGUGGGCAGCGGAGCACCGAGCCGGGCCGGCGGUGUUUGUGUUGUUGUUAGCGACACGUAGCGAGUUCCUCCUAAGCGGAAAGGCCCCGGCUCCAGUUUGUCGCCAGCGAAAGCCGAAACACGAGUCGCACAUGUGGAGCGGGAGCCGUCAGCCGCCGGGCGGCGGGGUGGGGGGGUGGGGGGCUGCGGGAGCGGGGGGGAGGGGGAGGGAAUGCGGCCCGAGGCGGGGCCUAGCGCUCACCGGGGGAUUUGUUUGGGGGGCUGGGGAGGGGAGAGAGGGGACAGGGUGGGAGCAAAGAAAGUAGCCCAAGGGGAACCAGGAAAAGGAUGCCUUGACCUCUAAAUGUUGUGCCCUCCCCGUGACAUCUCACUACUUGUGAGAAUAUUUGAGAAUUAAAAUAAAAAAAAAAGGAACCCUUUGUGGUGCGGCUUCAAAAUGGUUUUCCUUCCCAGGAUAUCCUGUGCCUGUCUUUGGGUGAGUUUUUCAUAGGUUACUUGGUUAGGAGACUUCUCCUAUCCCUUUAAGAGGUAAAAACAUAAAAAACAAAUGUAAAUGUAGGGACUUUAACACUUCCCCCCUUCCUAACAUUCGUAUAAUUGCUGUUAAGCCACACUGAAAACCCUGGGGCCUGGUGUUCACCAGGGUAAAGUUACAUUUCACAAGCAGAAAAUUGACUCACCACUUAGGAAAAUUGGCUACCAAUUAUGUGUCAAAGGCUCUAAAGUCAGACCUGAGGUUUUCUUUUUGCCAGAAUGGGGAAUUAAAAAGAGCACAGGCACCCAGCUUUGUACCCACUACUCCCUCCGGGAGCAAUUCUUGCUUGCCGCUGGGUUUCUUCUGAGUUUGCUUCUAAGCCUUGGCGGGGAAGGAGGGCUCCUGGCUGAACCCAGCCAGACUGGCUAGCAGGAUGAACGGAGGCAGGAGUCAGUCAACCCUUAUAAGGGAGUUCAUGCACAAGUAUGUUACAAACAUGCUUAUGGCCUGUGUGCAGAAAGUAACUGGUGGCCUAGCACAGUUGACCAAAGUUCUGAGAGCUAUGACUGAGACUCAGGGGCCCAGGGGAGCUGGAGAAAGGAGGGGCUUCUGAAGGCCAAGUCACUAAAGUCAAGGGACAUCUGCUGUCUCUGGUGACAUGUUUAUCACACCCACACCACGUACAUUGUCCUGGAAAUUUAUUGUUGUCUCCUCUUGUAGGAGAAGCCACCUGGGCAGGAGGGGAGACAGUCCCUUGUGGGAGGACUGAUGGUCCUGGUGGGGAAGCAUGGAGGGGUAGAAGUCAAGAGAGAACAAGAGGAAGAGACAGACAGGGAUACAGAGUCAUAGAUACAGGGGCAGAGGAAGAGCAAUGCAGAGAGGGAGAGGGAGGAGAGGAGAGAGAGAGGGAGGAGAGGAGAGAGAGAGGGAGGAGAGGAGAGAGAGAGAAAAGAGAGAAGAGAGAGAGAGAGAGAGAGAGAGAGAGAAAGAGAAACGAACCUCUUGUUUACUUCUCUCCCCGCUGUCCCCUGGUUCUCCUGUAUCCACUUUCUUGACAUACUCCUUGCCUUCUUCCAAGGCCUGCUUUCUGUUCCUGUCAGAGUGGCUUAUCCUUGGUUUUGUUUUUAAUGCCGUGAAAUUAAACCUUAUUUAGUGCUUCAUUUUCUGCCUCUAGAGGGAGAGAAAGAGAAAGCGUUAGGACCCACCAAAUUGAAUGAAUUUGCUGUGCUGUGUCGGAGAGAGUUAGUUUUGUAGGACAACCGGGAUGUAAAAUCAUUCUGGAGAUUAUCACCAGAUAAGCACCCCUCCCAAGAACACGAUGUGAUAUGUAAUAAUUUUAGUGAGGAAAACCAUCCUUGUUUUGCCUUCUGGGAAAUCUUAUGCUAUUUCUAUUUGAUUCUAACGUUGGACAAUUUCCAGAGUUCUGAAGAACCAACUAUCUUAACUCCUCAAUGAUUUUGACAGGGAAGACAAAAAAGGGACAGCAAUUCUGGGGCUGGGGCUGGAUCUCAACCAAAAUAUCUAAUUUCAAUUUAGUCCUGGCUUCUUAGCUGGAACAAAGAGAAAGUUUUUACAUUUUGCAGAAUAUUUAGUUCGCCUCAAAGUCUAUUGGGUUAAAAUAUAUGUGUGUGAGCCAAAGUAAGCUUUUGAGAAUUCGAAGCUGAUCACGACAUUCUGUAGCCUUUAACUCAUCAGUGGCUCCUUAUUGUUCUUAGGAUAAAAGCCAACUUUCUUACUCAUCUGCUGUUCCCAUUGCUUCUGUCACGGACAUUCCUUCCUCUCUGAGAAGCUCAAUUCAUCCGUCAGAUUCUAGCCCCUUUCCCUUCAGUUCUCAGAGACACCUUCACUCCCCAGCUGGGUCAGUUCCCAGCAUAGGAUGCUCUAAGCCCCAUGCAGCCAGGAGCUGUGGUUGUUUGUUUACUAUUCUAUUCCUCCUGACACUCAGUACUCAAUAAUAAACACAGUGCCAGACACUCGGUACGCAGUAAUAUCUAUUGAAUGAGUUAUUGGAUGAAAAGCAAUGUAGCUUGUGGCUGUGGAGGGUACGGAUUCUGUCCAGUGUUGUGCUGUAGCUGGCUUAUGUGGACUCAUGAGAACCAACUGAGUGAAUCUUUUCCCAGCUCUGUUCAGUGAUAUCACAUUGGUAGCUUGAAGUCAUUCAUAGUGGGGAUAUUUACACCAUAGAAAUUGGCAAACACUACAGAGCCGGGCUCCCUCCACCCACUUUACUCAGAACACUGUUGAUCCUGCCAGUCAUGAAUCUUAUCCAAUCUUAGGUUUCUCAGAUUUACCCCUCCAUACUAUGUCUUUGUCACCAGUUUUCUGGAGGGCAGAGAUCACAUCUUAUUAGUCUCUGAAUCAUUAAUCUGUAGCAGAGUGUACAACUCAAUAAGCACCUGUUUAAAAAAAGAAAGACGCUCACUAGUAGCUUGAGUCUCCAGUCCUGGCAUGCUGUCUCUUCUACUUAAUGUGCUCUUUGAGAAAAGGAUUUUGAAAUGAUGCUUUGGCCUAUUUGAGGUCUCUUCCCUUCCACCACUCCACUUAGGCCCAUGGCUCUUACACAUUCCGCUUAUGUUACAGUAGAAUGUUUUAAUAAGUAGGAUUUUUGUCAUUGCACAAGUCGACACAAUUAUGGGAAUAGCUAAAAUUCACCAGUAGACCUAGUGGGUUCAAUUCAACAAGAUUAUUGAGAGCCUGUUUUGUGGGAGAUGCUAUUGCUCAUAUGCUAGUGAAACAGACAUUUUCUACCCUCGAGGGUCUGUGCACUGAGAGGCAUAGUCAUAUGCAAACCAAGAGUAACUGAUAAGAUGGUUAAAUGGUGGGACAGAGUGUCAGGGGCACCUGUAUCGGAAUUGAUUAAUUCUGUGUGGGGGUCAUGGAAAGCUAGAGAGAAGGGAUAUUUGAGUUAGACUUGGAGGAAUAUACGGAGAGCUGUAGGGAACAGUUCCCAGAGGCAAGGAGAUCAAUUUGGGAAGUUACUGGGAUAGUAAUGGCCCAGAGAUAAUGAAGUCUUGGUCAUUACUGGUGGCAGAGCUAGAAGGCAGUGGGCAGGGAACAAAGCUCAGAUAGGCUAUGGGGAGCUGAGGGAGAAGAGAAUCAAGGUGAACUGUCUGGAUCAUUUUUUCCUCCAGUCCUUUUUGUGGUGGGAAGAUGGGAG
rnacentral:lncRNA from 1 species